rnacentral:rRNA from 1 species
UACGGGGGGGGCAAGCGUUGUUCGGAAUUACUGGGCGUAAAGGGCUCGUAGGUGGCCAACUAAGUCAGACGUGAAAUCCCUCGGCUUAACCGGGGAACUGCGUCUGAUACUGGAUGGCUUGAGUUCGGGAGAGGGAUGCGGAAUUCCGGGUGUAGUGGUGAAAUGCGUAGAGAUCCGGAGGAACCCCAGAGGCGAAGGCGGCAUCCUGGCCCACGACUGACACUCAGACACGACAGCAUGGGGAGCGAACGGG